GACGAACGCUGGCGGCGUGCCUAAUACAUGCAAGUUGAGCGCUGAAGGUUGGUACUUGUCCCAACUGGCUGAGCAGCGCACGGGUGAGUAACGCGUGGGGAAUCUGCCUUUGAGCGGGGGACAACAUUUGGAAACGAAUGCUAAUACCGCAUAAAAACUUUAAACACAAGUUUUAAGUUUGAAAGAUGCAAUUGCAUCACUCAAAGAUGAUCCCGCGUUGUAUUAGCUAGUUGGUGAGGUAAAGGCUCACCAAGGCGAUGAUACAUAGCCGACCUGAGAGGGUGAUCGGCCACAUUGGGACUGAGACACGGCCCAAACGCCUACGGGAGGCAGCAGUAGGGAAUCUUCGGCAAUGGACGAAAGUCUGACCGAGCAACGCCGCGUGAGUGAAGAAGGUUUUCGGAUCGGAAAACUCUGUUGGUAGAGAAGAACGUUGGUGAGAGUGGAAAGCUCAUCAAGUGACGGUAACUACCCAGAAAGGGACGGCUAACUACGUG
rnacentral:rRNA from 1 species